CUGCUGUCUGAAUCUGUAUCCAAGAUCUACAGAAAGUAUUCUAAACUAAGGAUUCUAAAUAUAUAUAUAUAUACACAUAUAUAUAUGUAUAUAUAAGUGCGGGAAACUGAUUUUAUAGUUCAUGUUUUUUGUGACUUUCUUAAUUCAACAGUAAGCAUUUCCUCUCUGGAAUGCAUAUAGGGCAUAUAGACAAAAUUUGUAUGACAAUAAAAUACAAUUUAAAAUAUUAAAGAGGAGAGGUAAACAAGGAGUAUGCAAUGGAUUUUAAAAGAGCAAUGUUUACAACCAGCACAUCUGUGACUUAUCCCAGAUUGCCACCAUUUUUAUCCUUGGCAAACAGCUGCCAAAUAGUCUACUGCUACCACUGAGAAAUGUCUGAACUCAUAUUUAUCUGCUUACAGAAGAGACAUGUCCACUGUCAUUUGUGGAUGUUGUUUCAUCUUAUUUAUUUAUAAAUCAUUGGGGUACAUGCAGUAAAGACAAAAAAAAGAAGUUUCUACAUGGAAAAGAAAAUGGAAUACCCAUACAGUACCCCCCAUCCAUUAAAGCAGACUUCAGAAAUAAGUGUAAGGACCAUAUUAUUGGUGCAUGUUGAGGUAAGUGGGGAGUUCUUAAGAAAGUUCUUACUAUUCCAUGUCAUAAGGAGUUUUAGAACAACUGAUAAUAACCGGUGACUGCUGGUGACUGUUAUGGGAUCCUUGGUAUCUGGCCAGGGGGGCCAAGAGAUUGAGAGGAAGAGAAAAGAAGCUGAAGGACGGCUGGGAGACAAGACCUGGGAGAGUUUACAGAGAGUGUUCCAUAAACUUGGAAUAGUGCCAAGUAAGUGCAAAGGGUGAGAGGAAGACUACGAGCCUUCAGCAUGAAAGACCCCUAGAGACCCCCAGAGGAGACUGAUGCGCAUGCUCCAGUAGGAGGAACCGGACUCCGGAAGCUAAUUAUAAUAAUCUACUUUUUUAGAAGUAGUAAUGAAUAUGUAUUAGUCUAGGUGCAUAAAAAUCAGCUGCUUGAUGUAACUGGUGUGCGUCCUGGUGGAGCGAAAACUCCCGGUGCACCCAGCGCUGUUUGCUUACCUCUAUUCCUUUAUAUUCUUUUAAUAAAUCCUAUUUUUUUUAUUUAAUCCUAAUUUGA
rnacentral:lncRNA from 1 species